rnacentral:rRNA from 1 species
GAUGAACGCUGGCGGCGUGCCUAAUACAUGCAAGUCGAGCGAAUGGAUUAAGAGCUUGCUCUUAUGAAGUUAGCGGCGGACGGGUGAGUAACACGUGGGUAACCUGCCCAUAAGACUGGGAUAACUCCGGGAAACCGGGGCUAAUACCGGAUAAUAUUUUGAACUGCAUGGUUAAAAAUUGAAAGGCGGCUUCGGCUGUCACUUAUGGAUGGACCCGGGUCGCAUUAGCUAGUUGGUGAGGUAACGGCUCACCAAGGCAACGAUGCGUAGCCGACCUGAAAGGGUGAUCGGCCACACUGGGACUGAGACACGGCCCAGACUCCUACGGGAGGCAGCAGUAGGGAAUCUUCCGCAAUGGACGAAAGUCUGACGGAGCAACGCCGCGUGAGUGAUGAAGGCUUUCGGGUCGUAAAACUCUGUUGUUAGGGAAGAACAAGUGCUAGUUGAAUAAGCUGGCACCUUGACGGUACCUAACCAGAAAGCCACGGCUAACUACGUGCCAGCCGCCGCGGUAA